UGCUGAUGCAGACACAAGGUGCAGACAC
rnacentral:piRNA from 1 species